rnacentral:tmRNA from 1 species
GGGGAUGUAAUGGUCUCGACAUUGAUUAUUGCCCAUGUGGUGCAUUCCGGAGGCUCGGCUCCGUUAACAACGGAACAGUUUAUUAACUGCAAACAACGAAAACUCUUACGCUUUAGCUGCCUAAAUAACAGCUUAGUGUGAUCCCACCGUCUUUGCUCAAGGGGCGGGUUUGGGGUCUCAAAUUAAUUGAGCUACACAGCCAACAUCCCACCUGAAUGUUGGCUGGAGAGAUAAUCAGGUUAGCCAUGGUGAGUUAGCCGCGUUGGCUGGCGCGUCACCUUGGUGAAAUUCAAAUUAGUCAACUAUGAGUGUAGACCUGCAUGGCGUGAGAUUGAUGGACACGGGUUCGAUUCCCGUCAUCUCCAUAU